GUCACAGAAGAGGCAGAAAAGAACAAGAUGCUCUCUGCAUGAAUCAGCCUCUAGGACAUCAAGUGUCACUGUUUCUGCACUCAGACCAGUCCCACUGAUGAGAAUUUUGUGGAGAUAUUUUUCUGAUACGAAAGGAGCUGCAUAUGUACAUGACAUUACUGAGCAUAGCAAAGCAAAUGGACAACUGAUAUAGGAAUACAUUUGCUCAAGACAUUGCAAAAGAGAGCAACACUAAAGAACAAAGACAAAAACUUUGUGAUUUUAAAGAAGAACCUUAUUUAAAAAUUCCUUGCAUUUGCAAGUGGAGGUAACUGAAAAACUGUAUGAAAAAAAUAUUUGUUUAUGGAAUCUGGGGCUUUUGGGAUUAUGUUUUUAUUUUAGUACUGAAUGGUUCGUAUUUUCGAGUCAGCAUUUCCCAUUAGACUACAGUUUCCUAAGGCAGAAUAAUGCUCCAUUCAUUUCUGUAUCCUGAAAGGUUAGCAGACUGAUUCAUACUCAGUAUGGAAACAAUGCAAAUUUGAUAAAUGAAUGCAUAAAAUGAACUCCUUUCAUCAAUUCCAUCAAUAACCACCAGUCAAUAUUACUUAU